rnacentral:lncRNA from 1 species
CUUAUCCUACACUUUGUAACACGUCACAUGAAACAAAGGACUGACACAAGUGACUCCCUGCUGCCUCGAACCCUGCUAACCAUGACUAAACCAUGUUUUAACCAGAGGAGACAGGUUGGUGGCUCACCAGUGAGACCAGCAGUUAACCCUUUCUGGAGAUGCCAUGAACUCUGCCACACAGCUGUUGAGCUCUUGCAAAAUCCCGUUGUGAAUUAAAGGUUGCUUCUCGCUAUGUGUUCAGGUGGUGUGAAUGCCCUGAGACAUGAAAUAUAGCGAGGUCUGUUACAGAUUAAAACAGGAUCCAAUAAAG